GGCUCAGGACGAACGCUGGCGGCGUGCUUAACACAUGCAAGUCGAGCGAUGAAGUUCCUUCGGGAAAUGGAUAGCGGCGGACGGGUGAGUAACACGUGGGUAACCUGCCUCAUAGAGGGGAAUAGCUUUCGAAGGAAGAUUAAUACCGCAUAAGAUUGUAAUGUCGCAUGACAUAGCAAUUAAAGGAGUAAUCCGCUAUGAGAUGGACCCGCGUCGCAUUAGCUAGUUGGUGAGGUAACGGCUCACCAAGGCGACGAUGCGUAGCCGACCUGAGAGGGUGAUCGGCCACAUUGGGACUGAGACACGGCCCAGACUCCUACGGGAGGCAGCAGUGGGGAAUAUUGCACAAUGGGGGAAACCCUGAUGCGGCAACGCCGCGUGAGUGAUGAAGGUCUUCGGAUUGUAAAGCUCUGUCUUUAGGGACGAUAAUGACGGUACCUAAGGAGGAAGCCACGGCUAACUACGUGCCAGCCGCCGC
rnacentral:rRNA from 1 species